GGAGAGAUGCCGGAGCGGUCGAACGGAGUUGCCUGCUAAGCAAUUGACCUGGGUAACCGGGUCCCUGGGUUCAAAUCCCAGUCUCUCCGCCA
rnacentral:tRNA from 1 species